GACAGAGGUGCCAAGCGUUAGGCGGAAUCACUGGGCUUAAAGCGUGUGUAGGCGGAUUGGUAAGUACCUUGUGAAAUCCCACGGCUCAACCGUGGAACUGCUUGGUAUACUGCCUGUCUUGAGCCACUUAGGGGCAGCCGGAACAAGCGGUGGAGCGGUGAAAUGCGUAGAUAUCGCUUGGAACGCCGAAGGUGAAAACAGGCUGCUGGGGUUGCGCCGACGCUGAGACACGAAAGCCAGGGGAGCAAACGGG
rnacentral:rRNA from 1 species